GAGGGUAUAGCUCAAAUGGUAGAGUGCAUGCUUAGCAUGCAUGAGGUCCUGGGUUUAAUCCCCAGUACCUCCU
rnacentral:tRNA from 1 species